rnacentral:rRNA from 1 species
AUGCCUGUUAGGGACGUCGUCGCCUGCUCGGCGGCAAUCUACCGGAGUGCGAGGGCCGGGUCGUUCGACGAGGCCGUUGGGCUGUUUGUCGGCAUGGUGAGGGCAGGAGUGUGCCCAAACUCGUUCACCUUGGUCGGUGCAUCGCUCGCCGCGGCCGGGCUGGGUGACGCGGUGCUCACCGAGUGCAUCCAUGGGUGGGUUGUCAAGCUUCGGUUGGACUCCAAUCCUUUUGUCCGAACCGCGUUGCUUGAUUCAUAUGCGAAGUGCGGCUGCCCCAUCAAGGCACGUGCUUUGUUUGGUGAAAUGAGGGAUCCAGGUAUAGUUACCUGGAAUGCGAUGAUCUCCGGGUUAGUGCAUAAUGAUUUGUUCGAGGAGGCAGUUCUGGUGUUUAAAAGGUUGCUUCAUUCGUUGGGGCCAAUUGAUAAUGUUGUGACUAUGAUAAGCACUGCUCAAGCUUGUGCUGGUUGUGGUGAUGUUGGACUGUGUGGGACUGCACAUGCUUACACGGUCAAGAUGGGGCUUGAUUUGGAUGUAUCAGUGACAAACUCGAUACUGGGCAUGUACUUGGGUUAUGCUAGUCUUGAGAUUGGAAGAGAGAUUUUCAGGAAGAUUCCUGUCAACAAUGUUGUUAGUUGGACGAUGAUGAUGGGUUUCCUUCUUGAGAAAGGGCAUGCCGGUGAAGUUAUACAUAUGUUUGUCAAGAUGAGGUCAAAUGGUAUAGUUCCUGACAUGGUAGCAAUGGUUGGUUUGGUGCAAGCUUGUGCACUUAUGGGUGAUGGAAGCAGAGGAAAGUUGGUUCAUAACCAGAUUGUAAUCCGUGGGUUUAGUAGAGAGCUUCCUGUAGUGAAUUCCUUAAUCACAAUGUAUUCCAAAUGUAAGGAUUUAAGCUCUGCAAAGAAGUUGUUUGAUGGAAGAAGAGAUAAGAGCUUGGUCUCAUGGACUGCAAUGGUGGCGGCGUGUGUAGAAAAUGGAGAUGUGCUAGAAGGAUUGGAUCUCUUUGCUAAGAUGAGGCAUGGAGGCUUGUUUGCGAUUGAUUAUGUAACGUUAGUCACCUUAUUGCUUGCCUGUUAUGUGAUUGCUAAGUUUGACCUGUGUGUUCAGCUUCAUGGGUAUAGCUACAAGUCAGGUUUGUCUUUGUACAGACCUGUUCUUAACACCCUUAUGGCAGUUUAUGGUAAGUGUGGAUAUGUGGCUCUAGCCCAAAAAUUGUUUGAUGAGAUGAUUUGUCGAGAUACUGUCUCGUGGAAUACUAUGAUAUUAUCCUUUGGUAUAAAUGGCCAAGGAGAGGAAGCAAUAACACUUUUUAAUGAGAUGGAGAAAUCUAGCGAGGGCCGAGACAGUGUAACAUACUUGAACACAUUGCUAGCAUGCAGCCAUUCUGGCCUGGUGGAUGAUGGGUUGAUCAUCUUUAGAAGAAUGAUAAACGAUAAGGGCAUAAAUCCAUGUCAGGAGCACAUUGGAUGCAUAGUGGAUAUGUUAGCAAGAGCUGGCCGCUUGGACGAAGCAGCAGGAGUGGCUAGCUUGACUGACAAUAAAUUGGGACUAAAUGCUUGGAAAGCCCUUAUGGGAGGGGGUCAUUUGCACAGUGACAUGAAGUUCACUAAUGUUGCUGCGGAGAAGGUGCUUACAGUGGAAUCAUUUGAUUAUGGACACGUGUUGUUACUUUCUAACACUUAUGCAUCACUUGGGAAAUUCAGUGCUGCUGAAUCUGUCAGAUCCUGUUAUACAAAACAGAUCGCAAAGAAAACUCUGGGGCUUAGUUCAAUU